GAGAAAUGCAAAGAGCCUUCCUAGAGAACACAUGGGACUGGUAAAGUACAGCACGUGAAACCAACCUCCUCUGCUUCGUACACGCUCAGGCCUCAAUGGAGAACAGUGAAGAUAUCUUCCCUCGAGAGUUAGGAUUGUCCACACCUGUACCCAAUGAUCAACAGAAAUGUGCAGGUCACACUCAUCCCACGGGAAAGAUCCAGUCUAUUGGGGACAUUUAUCAGUUCACAGUAGAUGUCAGUGAAUUUUCUCUGGAGGAUGUUGUGAUCACCACUUCAAACAAUCUCAUAGAGGUCCGUGCAGAAAAGUGUGCUGAGAAUGGCACCGCCAUAAAUACUUUUGUUCACAAAUGCCAGUUUCCAGUGGACGUGGAUCCCAUGUCUGUGACAUCUUCACUGGGGAACAGAGGGGCACUCACAGUGAAAGCUCGCAGGAUUUCUUGAUCAAAGACGAUCCAUUUGGUUUUAUAUAUUGCUGCUCCCUCUCUCUAAUUACUUGAAAUUAAAUACCAGUGCAAACAUUUAACACGUUUAAUUUAAUUAUUUUGAGUCUGCCAGUGAUUGCUCUAGAGGUAUGCAUUUGGACACAAGGCCAUAAAGGCUACACCCAAUGUUACCAGUUAUGAUAAAAACUUUUGCGUGAUACCAGCACCGAUGUCAUUGAGUUUUAACAUUCUAUAGUUUCAGUUUGCGAUUGUCUGCUGUGUACGUAUGGAUUAGUAAUUAUGAAAGAAUUAAAAUGUUCACUCUGAUUAUCAGAGAAAACGUUGCAUACAAUAUAAGAUGCCAUUCAAAUAGUUCGUUGUAUUAACGUCCAAAUCUAUGCUAAAUUGCUGAUGAAUGCCCACUAAUCUUAAACACAA